rnacentral:rRNA from 1 species
GUGGGGAAUAUUGCGCAAUGGGCGAAAGCCUGACGCAGCGACGCCGCGUGAGGGAUGAAGGCCUUCGGGUCGUAAACCUCUUUCAGCAGGGAAGAAGCGAAAGUGACGGUACCUGCAGAAGAAGCACCGGCUAACUACGUGCCAGCAGCCGCGGUAAUACGUAGGGUGCAAGCGUUGUCCGGAAUUAUUGGGCGUAAAGAGCUCGUAGGCGGUCUGUCGCGUCUGCUGUGAAAACUCAGGGCUUAACCCUGAGCUUGCAGUGGGUACGGGCAGACUAGAGUGCGGUAGGGGAGACUGGAAUUCCUGGUGUAGCGGUGAAAUGCGCAGAUAUCAGGAGGAACACCGGUGGCGAAGGCGGGUCUCUGGGCCGUAACUGACGCUGAGGAGCGAAAGCAUGGGGAGCGAACAGGAUUAGAAACCCGAGUAGUCC